GUGGGAGUGGCGAAAUUGGUAAACGCACCAGAUUUAGGUUCUGGACCAUUUUAUGGAAUACGAGUUCAAAUCUCGUCUCCCACA
rnacentral:tRNA from 1 species